GACGAACCGUACGAACGUUAUUCGGAAUCACUGGGCUUAAAGGGUGCGUAGGCGGCGCGACAAGUUGGGUGUGAAAUCCCUCGGCUCAACCGAGGAACUGCGCCCAAAACUGUCGUGCUCGAGGGAGACAGAGGUGAGCGGAACUUAGGGUGGAGCGGUGAAAUGCGUUGAUAUCCUAAGGAACACCGGUGGCGAAGGCGGCGACCUGGUCCUUGACUGACGCUGAGGCGCGAAAGCGUGGGGAGCAAACAGG
rnacentral:rRNA from 1 species